rnacentral:snoRNA from 1 species
AUCCCAUGAUUUGGACACUUUCUCAUCAACUCCUUAAAUCUAUUUUAGGCCUUGUGAUAGCUUUCCCCAUCUUUUUGUUGAAAUGUUUGAAUUUUCAGUCUGAUUCU